rnacentral:rRNA from 1 species
GGUUGAUCCUGCCAGGAGUUAUAUGCUUGUCCCAAAGAUUAAGCCAUGCAUGUGUAAGUAUAAAUGCUUUGUACUGUGAAACUGCGAAUGGCUCAUUAUAUCAGUUAUAAUUUAUUUGAUGGUCUCUUUUUACUUGGAUAACCGUGGUAAUUCUCCGGCUAAUACAUGCUGCCCCUCGGGGCGUAUUUGUUAGACCUUAAACCAACGCCAGCAAUGGCUUUCGGUGACACAUGACAACUGCACGGAUCGCAUGACCUCGAGUCGGCGACGCUUCAUUCAAAUUUCUGCCCUA